AUUCCUGCUGUGCUACUGUUUCAUACUUGAGGAGAAAUUAUCCUUGGUGUGUUGGCUCUUUUGGAUGAAUCAUACAAGGAUAAUUUCUUUUUGAGUAUCAAAUACUGCCCUGGUGGACUUCC
rnacentral:pre_miRNA from 7 species